GACAGAGGGUGCAAACGUUGUUCGGAAUUACUGGCGUAAAGCGAGUGUAGGCGGUUUGGUAAGUCGGAUGUGAAAGCCCCGGGCUCAACCCGGGAAGUGCACUCGAUACUGCCAAGCUAGAGUAUCGGAGAGGUUGGUGGAAUUCUCGGUGUAGAGGUGAAAUUCGUAGAUAUCGAGAGGAACACCGGUGGCGAAGGCGGCCAACUGGACGAAUACUGACGCUGAGACUCGAAAGCGUGGGGAGCAAACAGG
rnacentral:rRNA from 1 species